rnacentral:rRNA from 1 species
UUUCAACAACGGAUCUCUUGGUUCUGGCAUCGAUGAAGAACGCAGCGAAAUGCGAUAAGUAAUGUGAAUUGCAGAAUUCAGUGAAUCAUCGAAUCUUUGAACGCACAUUGCGCCCUCUGGUAUUCCGGAGGGCAUGCCUGUUCGAGCGUCAUUACACCACUCCAGCCUCGCUGGGUAUUGGGCGU